AACUGGCUGGUUCAGCUUGUAGAGCAAGUGACUCUUGACCUCUGGGUUGUGGGUUCGAUCCCCACGUUGGGUA
rnacentral:tRNA from 1 species